CUCUCCCUCAUUUUUUUUUUUUUUACAAAUAUUAGAAGACAUAGAGAAACAGAAGAUGCAAGAGAUUGUUUUGGAAAUUGAGUUUCUAUUUAAAAACAAUUCUAAAAAUCAAGAAUCAUAGUAUUUGGCAUUUACAAAUGUCAAAGCAGAAUUUCCACCAAAUUUAGUGCAGAUUAAUCUGGAUUAAGAACAUGCUUGCAAGGCUCACCCAGGAAGUUGGCAUGAAGUGAGCAGAUACCGUGUACUAUUAUUUUUGAGAGGUAGUACCUACACCAAUCAGAAAAAAAAAAAAUGGAAUGGGAAUCUUUCUGCGCUCAGGAACAAUUUUCUGAGGGAACAAAAGAAGAAUCAACUUUUCUUUCUCUUCGCUGAUCCCAGCUACCACUCUUUCUUCGUUGACUAGGAUAACUGCCAAGUCACCACACACAAGGAAGAGGACACAGGCAGUGGCCUAGUGGGUAGUCCCUGUACUUAAAGCUUGGGAGCAGAGGCAAGGAAAGAGCCUCAGUGGCAGAGCAUAGUAGAAAUUGUGUUGAGGGAGGCCAGCAGCAAUAGCGAGACUAUAAACACGAGCAAGGCAGUGAUUGUUACAAAACAAGGUCAGCAGUCACAUCCAAGUGACAGGAAAUGACCUGCGGUCCAAGACAGGCACAAUGAAGGUCUCCUUACCAGCUGGUGAUCUUAUGUUUAUUUAUGAGCAGGUAGCUUCAUAAUUGUUCACUUUACAAUUAUUUAAGCUCUACAAGAAAAGUUACAUAUUUUUAUAUAUAUUUCAUAAUUUAAAAAAAUGUAAUGCUCCUAGAAAUUUCAUGACAAAACACUGGCUUAGGGUAGAUCAGCCAUUCUCAGGCUUUAGACUUGAGAGAAAUAUACUUGUCUGUUGGCAAAUACCAGUAUUUAAACAAACAUUCCUUUUUUUAAAAAAAAUGAAUAUACAGGAAACAAAAACAAGCCUUACAAUUCACAGAAAGCACUGCAGCUCAAGGUAAAGCAUGCAUUAUACUUUAGAACCAAGGAAGUACAUACUUCUAAAAAUUAUUUUUUAUAGGAAGAAAAUAAAAUUUCAGGAAACAUCUGCUGAUGUCCUCAAUAACAUACAAUGAAAAUUGACCUUUGUGGAAGGGAAGCAGGAGGCUUGGCAGAGAACCUGUGCAGAUUAAACUACAGCAUAUAGAUUAAGAAAAAUUAGCUGAGAGGUAAAGAUUACAUCUGAAGAGCAGGAAAACACACACACACAACACACAUACACACACACACACUUAAAAUAUAUUUAGUGCAAAUUGAUCUGAAUUAAGAACAUGCCUGCAAUGCCUAACUAGAAAAUUGGCAUACUGUGUACUACUAUUUUUGAAAUGUGGUAUCUAUAUGAACAAACUGUGGGAAACCCAAAAGGGAACAGAAUUACAAUCCGUUCUGGAAUUAGUAACCAGAAAAUUGCAUUACUGACAUAGAACUGUGGCUGCCAAACCCAGCUGUUUAUCAGUAUUACCUGAGGGAUUUUUUAAAAAAAUAUUUUUAGUUGCCAAUGGAUUUUUCACUUUAUUUGUUUAUUGAUAUGUGGUGCUGAGGAUCAAACCUAGGGCCUCACACAUGCCAGACAAGUGCUGUAUCGCUGAGCCACAACCCCAGUCCCCCAAGAGGGAUGUUUUAAAUAGACUCCUCAUUAGACCCCACCCAAGACCUAAUGAAUCAGGAUCUACCAUGGUUUUUGUUUUUAAGCUACACAUUCAAAAAAUUUCCAGGAAGGUUUGACAAUCAGGCAGGUGUAGGAAACACCAAUGUAGAGAAUAAACCUGAAAAGUUCUCUUCGACUGAGAGUUGAAGAGAAAACAAGGAAAUGAAAAUGAGAGAAAAUGGUUCAUGGGAAGAAAAGAGAGCAUAUGUAUAAUCCACCAGUACAUCAAUAACAGUGAUUCAUGGGGAAAAUUCAGGAUAAUUGAAACAGAAGGGAAAAUCAGUUACAAUAGAAAAUUUGAGUUGAAACAGAUAGCUAUAAAGUAGACGGUAUAAAUUAUACAGCAUAGAGGUCUCUAAGCAAAACUGACUGGAAAGAGGCCCACACAGAACCCAAUUGAUCCCAGCAACUAUUUUGUGUCCCCACCUUCUGGACCUCACUUCUUAUUCCUCUUUCUGACUCUCACCAUAACUCUCUUUCCACUUUCCAUCAGAACUUCCACAGCUCCUACCUUGCCUCUACCCACCCACCUCUAUCUGUGCCCAAAUGCUUGCUCUAGCUUCCUGCCUAUUACCAUAGCUGGACUAUUUCUGAUCCCCGUAAAGGCAAUGCCCGGAUCCCCCACCCUCAAGGACUCCACUCCCACCUUUCUCCCCCAUCACUCCGCCAGCAUCAAUUUUAGUUUCUUUUGAGUGAAUCUUUCCUUUCAGUCUACAAACAUACUAUUAUUUCUCCCCCACUUAGCCUCACCAGCCUUGGAUUCAUCUCUCUCCCUUUUACACAUAAAUUUUUGAAGCAGCCAUCUAUAUUUGCUGUGCCCCCCAUGCUUCUUGAACCUGUCUGCAUCAUGCCAUCGCCCCCAUCCCCAGUCUACAGCAUUCCUCUUACUAUGGAUAAUGAUUA
rnacentral:lncRNA from 1 species